UGGGGAAUAUUGCACAAUGGGGGAAACCCUGAUGCAGCAACGCCGCGUGAGUGAUGACGGCCUGGUUGUAAGCUCUGUCUUCAGGGACGAUAAUGACGGUACCUGAGGGGGAAGGCCACGGCUAACUACGUGCC
rnacentral:rRNA from 1 species